ACUCUUAGGUUUUUUUUUCUGCCUUCCCCAGCAUGUUCCAUAGCCUCCUGUAAAUAAACUAACUGUUAACUUCUUUUUUAUAAUAAAUAAUUAUAGAAUUUCAAGUCUUGUCCAAGGUAUUUCCUUGUUGCUGAUAUCAGAUGUGAGAUGAGGAGGAUUUAAAGGGGCAUGAAGGAGUAUGCACACUGUAUAUUUCUCCCUUGAUGAUUUGUUUUCACCACUAACAACCUGUCCAGGAUCUGCCUCCUAACGAAGUCUCUGUCCCAGGCGGCCAACACCAUACUCCCCCAUAAUGCACCCUGGCUAAGAUGACUCCUCUAUGAAAAAGGUCUAUCGGGGUACAGGAGGCCUAGUCUCCUCCAGGGGGCGCUGCGUUAACGGGAACGUCAAACACUGACUGAGUCAUCGUGCUUGGGGGACCGGUAGGACCCCGCCAUCGUUGCUUGAAACUUUAAUUUUCUUCAUUAAAGUUAGCAAUUCUGUCUGAGAUUGAGAUAGCCUACAAUGUGUUUGUUUUUAACAAUUUGAAGACGAUUAUUUAUGGGCAACCAUUCGUCAGGGUGUUAGCAGCUGCUUAUGUUUGUCAAAUUAGUAGGCUAUCCUCAUUGGAAAAAGAUGGGAACCUGUUUAAAGAAAAACAUUGAAGGAUGUUUGAUUGUGGAAACAUUUAUUUGACUAAUUAAUGGCUAGUUCAUAUUCCUUUAUAGACCUGCAUUUGAUUUGCCGGUACUUACAUGAAGCAUUUAGAAAUGGACCUGUCUUUCGACCCCUGGUACGUCAAAGAUAGCAAAAUAAAAUAGACGAUUCAAAAUAAAUACAUAAAAAAUAUUCUUGAGUAAAGAUUGUAUGAGUUAUUAUCUGAAAACUAGUAGCAUACCAUCUUGUGUUUUCUAUUAUUGUGUUGGCCUAAUAAACACACUGACCUUCUUGCAGAAUUAAUUGUGUAUAUAGAUGCUAGGCUACAAUAUUUAUCAUUAUUUUACUGUGCAUAGGAGGCGGCCAGCGAAAGGUCUUGAUAACCUGCUACUGGUAGCCUACACCUUCAAGGUACAGUUGACCUGUGAACUGGAAUAACGUUUACUCUCGCUGCAAGGGUCAGAGAGACAGGUUUCAGAGGCCACAAUGAGGUACUAUCCUUCUUUAUUCUGCUGCACUUUAAACCUACACCGUUACUGUCAUUCAGUAAACAAAACCUUGUAUAAUCUUGGAAUAGAUGGUGUUACAACUAUUUAGCAUUUAUUGAGGGGAUUAUCUUCCCGUCAUGUUCCAAUGAAAUUAUCUAAAUGAAUUAUCCGUUCAAUCUAUCUUAAUCAAAGUACAAAUGUAACAUGGCAA
rnacentral:lncRNA from 1 species